rnacentral:rRNA from 1 species
GCUUAGAAGUAAACCAAGGCCGCAACCUCAUCCCGCUGCCCGCCAGAGUACUACAAGUGAAAAACUUAAAACUCAAAGGACUUGACGGCAUUCCACAUCACACUAGAGGAGCCUGUCCUACAAUCGAUAACCCACGUUCUACCUCACCUGUCUUUGCCCAAUCAGCCUAUAUACCGCCGUCUACAGCCCGCCUUACAAAAGCCCCCACAGCGAGCCAACCAGCCCCACGCUAAAACGUCAGGUCAAGGUGUAGCUAACGGACAGGAAGAGAUGGGCUACAUUUUCUAAUAAUAGAAAACCACUACUAACACCAUGAAACAAGUGCACAAAGGAGGAUUUAGCAGUAAGCCACGCAAGCCAGCCUGACUGAAUAAUGCCCUGGAAUGCGU